rnacentral:rRNA from 1 species
AUUGAAAGCUGGCGGCAUGCUUUACACAUGCAAGUCGAACGGUAACAGGUUAAGCUGACGAGCGGCGAACGGGUGAGUAAUGCAUCGGAACGUGCCCGGUCGUGGGGGAUAACGCAGCGAAAGCUGCGCUAAUACCGCAUCCGAUCUGAGGAUGAAAGCGGGGGCCCGUACGGCCUCACGAGAUCGGAGCGGCCGAUGUGCGGUUAGGUGGUUGGUGGGGUAAAGGCUCACCAAGCCAACGAUCUGUAGCUGGUCUGAGAGGACGACCAGCCACACUGGGACUGAGACACGGCCCAGACUCCUACGGGAGGCAGCAGUGGGGAAUUUUGGACAAUGGGCGAAAGCCUGAUCCAGCAAUGCCGCGAGCAGGAAGAAGGCCUUCGGGUUGUAAACUGCUUUUGUACGGAGCGAAAAGGUCUCCUCUAAUACAGGGGGCUCAUGACGGUACCGUAAGAAUAAGCACCGGCUAACUACGUGCCAGCCGCCGCAGUAA